rnacentral:rRNA from 1 species
UACGGAGGGUGCAAGCGUUGUUCGGAAUUACUGGGCGUAAAGCGCGUGUAGGCGGUCGGGUAAGUCAGAUGUGAAAGCCCCCGGCUUAACCGGGGAACUGCAUUUGAAACUGCCUGGCUGGAGUUCGGGAGAGGAGAGUGGAAUUCCUGGUGUAGAGGUGAAAUUCGUAGAUAUCAGGAGGAACACCGGUGGCGAAGGCGGCUCUCUGGUCCGAUACUGACGCUGAGACGCGAAAGCGUGGGGAGCAAACAGG